rnacentral:rRNA from 1 species
AGCUCCAAUAGCGUAUAUUAAAGUUGUUGCAGUUAAAAAGCUCGUAGUUGGAUUUCGGAAUGGGCCAGUUGGUCCGCCUAACGGUGUGUUACUGACUGGUCUGUUCUUCUUCGCAAAGACUGCGUGUGCUCUUUAUUGAGUGUGCGUAGGAUUUACGACGUUUACUUUGAAAAAAUUAGAGUGUUCAAAGCAGGCUAUCGCUUGAAUACAUGAGCAUGGAAUAAUGGAAUAGGACUUUGGUCCUAUUUUGUUGGUUUCUAGGACCGAAGUAAUGAUUAAGAGGGACAAUUGGGGGCAUCCGUAUUUCGUUGUCAGAGGUGAAAUUCUUGGAUUUACGAAAGACGAACAACUGCGAAAGCACUUGCCAAGAGUGUUUUCAUUAAUCAAGAACGAAAGUACG